GAAAGGGGCYAGCGUUKUUCGGUUUUACUGGGCGUAAAGCGCRCGUAGGCGGCCUUGUAAGAUGGGGGUGAAAUCCCCGGGCUCAACCCGGGAACUGCCUUCAWGACUGCAAAGCUUGAGGAUGCGAGAGGUUAGCGGAAUUCCGAGUGUAGAGGUGAAAUUCGUAGAUAUUCGGAAGAACACCAGUGGCGAAGGCGGCUMACUGGCGCAUUUCUGACGCUGAGGUGCGAAAGCGUGGGGAGCAAACAGGAUUAGAUACCC
rnacentral:rRNA from 1 species